CCUACGGGUGGCAGCAGUGAGGAAUAUUGGUCAAUGGGCGUAAGCCUGAACCAGCCAAGUCGCGUGAGGGAUGAAGGUUCUAUGGAUCGUAAACCUCUUUUAUAAGGGAAUAAAGUGCGGGACGUGUCCCGUGUUGUAUGUACCUUAUGAAUAAGGAUCGGCUAACUCCGUGCCAGCAGCCGCGGUAAUACGGAGGAUCCGCGCGUUAUCCGGAUUUGUUGGGUUUAAAGGGUGCGUAGGCGGGCUUUUAAGUCAGCGGUGAAAGGCUGUGGCUCAACCAUAGGAGUGCCGUUGAAACUGGGAGGCUUGAGUAUGUUUGAGGCAGGCGGAAUGCGUGGUGUAGCGGUGAAAUGCUGAGAUAUCACGCAGAACCCCGAUUGCGAAGGCAGCCUGCCAAGCCAUGACUGACGCUGAUGCACGAAAGCGUGGGGAUCAAACAGGAUUAGAUACCCGUGUAGUC
rnacentral:rRNA from 1 species